AUACGUAGGGGGCGAGCGUUGUCCGGAAUGAUUGGGCGUAAAGGGCGCGUAGGCGGCCCGGUAAGUCUGGAGUGAAAGUCCUGUUUUUAAGAUGGGAAUUGCUUUGGAUACUGUCGGGCUUGAGUGCAGGAGAGGUAAGUGGAAUUCCCAGUGUAGCGGUGAAAUGCGUAGAGAUUGGGAGGAACACCAGUGGCGAAGGCGACUUACUGGACUGUAACUGACGCUGAGGCGCGAAAGUGUGGGGAGCAAACAGGAUUAGAUACCCUGGUGGUCCACACUGUAAACGAUGAAUGCUAGGUGUAGGGGGUAUCGACCCCUUCUGUGCCGCAGUCAACACAAUAAGCAUUCCGCCUGGGGAGUACGGCCGCAAGGUUGAAACUCAAAGGAAUUGACGGGA
rnacentral:rRNA from 1 species